rnacentral:tRNA from 1 species
GCGGGUGUAGCUCAGUUGGUAGAGCCCCAGCUUCCCAAGCUGGUUGUCGCGAGUUCGAAUCUCGUCGCCCGCUCCA